AUAUAGUACAUGUGAUGGCUAAUACUGAGUGUCAACUUGAUUGGAUUGAAGGAUACAAAGUAUUAAUUCUGGGUGUGUCUGUGUGGGUGUUACUGAAAGAGAUUAACAUUUGAGUGGGUGGGCUGGGGAAGGCAGAUCCUCCCUUAAUACGGUGGGUACAAUCUAAUCAGCUUUGAUAAAAUAUGCAGAAAAAUGUAAAAAGUUGGGUGGGGCCUUGCUUCCCAGCCUACAUCUUCCUCCCAUGCUAGAUGCUUCCUGCCCUGGAACAUCGGACUCCAAGUUCUUCAGUUUUGGGAAUCAAAGUGGCUCUCCUUGCUCCUGAGCUUGCAGAAAACCAAUUGCGAGACCCUGUGAUCCUGAAACCUUAGGUUUUGCUCUUAAGGCCUUCAACUGAUUUCAUGAGGCAUACUCUCUUUAUUGAGGUAAAAUACUUAAACUUAACUUGCUGUAGAUAUUAACCACACCUACAAAAUACAUUCAUAGCCACACCUAGUUUAGUGAGUACUGUAAGUUAGCCAAGUAGAUGCAUAAAAGUAACCAUUAUUAAAUAGUGAUAGAUAGAUAAAGGGAUAGGUAGAUAACAAGACAUAUAUUACAAAGAAUUGCCUUACAUAAUUGUGUGAACUGAAUAAGAAAGUCAGGGCACUUAGAUAAAAUUAUGAACAGGCUUGAACCCAUGUUCAUGGGCUGAAGCUGUUGUUCACAGAUGAAAUGUCUUAUCUUCACUUGAGGAAACCUCAGUCUUGCUUUCAAAUCCUUUGAAAGAAUUUAGUAAGAUCCACCCAAGUCAUUUAGGAAAAUUCCACUUAAAGUCAACCAUUAGGGACUUUAAUUAUGUCUCCAUAAUACCUUUACAAUAACAUCCACUUUGUGUUUGACCAACUGGGGAUAUUGCUUAGCUAAACUGAUAUAUUUUAAAAAGUCAUCAUGCUGGUAAACAUCAAUAAAUAAAAAUUUUAAUGGAUUAAAAACACUAAUUACAAGUAGGCGAUAAUUUAGUGCCUUCCAAACUAAAACACAGAUUAGGCUUUGAUAUAAUUUUCAAAGGGCAUUGGGAAUAGACUUGGUGUACAUGCCACUCAAAGUUUAGAACACAUAUUUGUAAUAAAACUAUUUUUGUUCUGGAGGAAAAGAUCGUAAACGACUUCACAUUUUCUAGAAAGUUGACUAAUGGUAAUAUGCUGCUUUCAGUUUAUCAGCUUCUCUAUUUAACAUCAAGAUAUGUUAAAUGGUGGCUCAGCAUGUGGAAGGAGAGUUUUCUCAGGAUGAUAAGAGGAGGGGUAUGACCAAUGAGAGAGCGAUUCACAUUUGAUGCUUUUGAUAUGUUAGUCUUCUUACAUUUGCUUCCAAAAUUUAGCUUCACUUUUUUAUAUAUUUUUGAAAAUCCUCUGGUAAGAGGUUUACAC
rnacentral:lncRNA from 1 species